rnacentral:piRNA from 1 species
UCCAGUAGAAAGGUGAGCACGUGU